rnacentral:rRNA from 1 species
AAAGCGUGCGCAGGCGGUUAUGCAAGACAGAUGUGAAAUCCCCGGGCUCAACCUGGGAACUGCAUUUGUGACUGCAUAGCUAGAGUACGGUAGAGGGGGAUGGAAUUCCGCGUGUAGCAGUGAAAUGCGUAGAUAUGCGGAGGAACACCGAUGGCGAAGGCAAUCCCCUGGACCUGUACUGACGCUCAUGCACGAAAGCGUGGGGAGCAAACAGGAUUAGAUACCCUAGU